CCCUUAGACGUUCUGGGCCGUACGCGCGCUACACUGACCAGUGCAACAAGCAUCCGUCCUUGGCCGACAGGCCCGGGCAAUCUUUGAACGCUGGUCGUGAUGGGGAUAGACUUUUGCAAUUUUUGGUCUUCAACGAGGAAUUCCUAGUAAACGCAAGUCAUCAACUUGCAUUGAUUACGUCCCUGCCCUUUGUACACACCGCCCGUCGCACCUACCGAUUGAAUGGUCCGGUGAAGCCUCCGGAUUGGCGCGCACCUCGGUGCCGCCGAGAAGUUGGCUAAACCUUACCAUUUAGAGGAAGGUGAAGUCGUANCA
rnacentral:rRNA from 1 species